rnacentral:rRNA from 1 species
GAUGAACGCUGGCGGCGUGCCUAACACAUGCAAGUCGAACGGAGAUUACGGACGGAAGUUUUCGGAUGGAAGCCUGUAAUUCUUAGUGGCGGACGGGUGAGUAACGCGUGGGCAACCUGCCCUAUACAGGGGGAUAGCAGCUGGAAACGGCUGGUAAGACCGCAUAAGUCGGUUAAAUCGCAUGAUUUGAUCGGGAAAUGAGCAAUCAGGUAUAGGAUGGGCCCGCGUCCGAUUAGCCAGUUGGCAGGGUAAAAGCCUACCAAAGCGACGAUCGGUAGCCGGACUGAGAGGUCGGACGGCCACAUUGGGACUGAGACACGGCCCAAACUCCUGCGGGAGGCAGCAGUGGGGGAUAUUGCACAAUGGAGGAAACUCUGAUGCAGCGACGCCGCGUGAGUGAAGAAGUAUUUCGGUAUGUAAAGCUCUAUCAGCAGGGAAGAUGAUGACGGUACCUGACUAAGAAGCCCCGGCUAACUACGUG